AACGCACCUUGCGCUCUUUGGUAUUCCAAAGAGCAUGCCUGUUUGAGUGUCGCUAAAUUCUCGAAACAAAAAAACUUUCUUUUUUGUUUUGGAUUUUGGGGGGUUGUGCCGGGAUCUUCUCGAGAUCGGCUCCUCCGAAUAGCAUCAGCAACGAGUGGAGUUGAAUGGGCUUUGGUUUGAUAAUUAUCUAUGCCGUCGCCGUGAAUGCUCCCGUGUCGCUUACCAGUCGUCCUCUUGAGACAAUUUUGACCAUUUUGACCUCAAAUCAGGUAGGACUACCCGCUGAACUUAA
rnacentral:misc_RNA from 1 species